UACGUAGGGGGCUAGCGUUGUCCGGAAUCAUUGGGCGUAAAGCGCGUGUAGGCGGGCCGGUAAGUCCGCUGUGAAAGUCGGGGGCUCAACCCUCGGAUGCCGGUGGAUACUGUCGGGCUUGAGUACGGAAGAGGCGAGUGGAAUUCCUGGUGUAGCGGUGAAAUGCGCAGAUAUCAGGAGGAACACCAAUUGCGAAGGCAGCUCGCUGGGACGUUACUGACGCUGAGACGCGAAAGCGUGGGGAGCAAACAGG
rnacentral:rRNA from 1 species